CAGUAGCCGCGGGAAUACGUAGGGUGCGAGCGUUAAUCGGAAUUACUGGGCGUAAAGCGUGCGCAGGCGGUUGUGUAAGACAGGUGUGAAAUCCCCGGGCUUAACCUGGGAACUGCGCUUGUGACUGCACAGCUAGAGUAUGGCAGAGGGGGGUGGAAUUCCACGUGUAGCAGUGAAAUGCGUAGAUAUGCGGAGGAACACCGAUGGCGAAGGCAAUCCCCUGGGCCUGCACUGACGCUCAUGCACGAAAGCGUGGGGAGCAAACAGGAUUAGAUACCCGAGUAGUCCCUGUCUCUUAUAC
rnacentral:rRNA from 1 species